AAAAGCAGGAUAAUGCCAUCCACACAUACUGUAGAAUGAAAAAUCCUGAAGCAGGAAUUGGGGGGCUUCCUGUGGAAGUGACAGUGCAUUCUCAACAUGCCUCUUCAUGUCGAGUAUAGUUAUGUAUUCUCCACACAGGCUGAGAGUUGUGUGAACUGACCUUGAUGAGCUGCCCUCGCUCCACACUGAAUCAGUAAAAAACCCAAGAAAGUUGUAACGUGGCCAUAUCAGAUGAAGGUGUUCCAGUUUGCUUUAAUCCUGACUCCAGUAACCUGGAAACUGUCUACCCAGCUAUAUGCAAAAACUUGGAGGGAUCGUCCAUUGAGCCAAAUUUCAUCAUCUGCCAGGUGGGCACUGAAAAGGUGUGGGGCCUUUACUGUGGCAUGAUGUUCAUCUCCUCUGGAAGUUCAGCCUUCAGCAGCUGCGUGGGGACUUGUGCCUCAUCUGACAGUACUGUCUGCUAGGGCAAACCAUGCUACAUGGGCAGCAGCUUUGUGGCCUUCCCCCUUGGUUGAAAGCUAGGAGCCACCUUCGUGCUUUACAGCAUGGCUG